rnacentral:tRNA from 1 species
GUUAUAUUAGUUUAAAAAAAACAUUGACUUGUGGAGCCAAAAUUGUAUUUAUACAUUUAACA